UACGUAGGGGGCGAGCGUUGUCCGGAAUUACUGGGCGUAAAGCGUGCGUAGGUGGUUUGUUAAGUCUGAUGUGAAAGCCCUGGGCUCAACCUGGGAAUUGCAUUGGAUACUGGCAGGCUAGAGUGCGGUAGAGGAUGGCGGAAUUCCCGGUGUAGCAGUGAAAUGCGUAGAGAUCGGGAGGAACAUCUGUGGCGAAGGCGGCCAUCUGGACCAGCACUGACACUGAGGCACGAAAGCGUGGGGAGCGAACAGG
rnacentral:rRNA from 1 species